ensembl:lncRNA
CACCUUGACAUGGUGCUCGAGUGUUUCAAAUAGGCGCCUGACAUUUUUGCAGAGUGUAUCGUGUGCAUUCAACGUUGGUUUGUAAUUAAAUUGGCAAGAAAAAUACGCCCCUUUAGAAAAAAAAGGCGAAUUCUCGGCGUUGGGUUUGCACUUGGCGCGCGCACCAUGCGCACUGGCCUGUCAUUGGUCGAAAUGCUCAUCGUGUCUUACUGAAGCCAGUAGAGACCGCGAGCGAGGAGAAAAACAACACCACAGACUUCCCUGAUCUGUUUGCGCGCAUAGACUCCAUGUUCAAAAGCUACAUCAAACCCCCGUGUAUUGUAUGGUUUAUUGUGGGGGAAAAAACAUGAUUUCUUGACUAUAUCUCGACAUAGUAGCUAAUAAUAACAAUACGAUUAUUAUUAUUAUCAUUAUUAUUAAUAAUAAUAUUACUAUUGUUGUUGUUGUUAUUGCUACUAUCAUCAGCAUCGAUUCUCCAUCAUAAUGUUUUAAACAUAAUUUCGCUUUCUAUUUUCCUUUCAAUAUAAAGACUAUUUUUUAAUGGCUCUGUAUGUGAUUUGUGAUUUUCUUUGUCCCCAUUAUUAAUAGCGUUGUUUUAUUUUGUAAUGAAAUAAUUUCAAACAAUAUGAGAUUAAUUCAUCUUUUCUUUUUUCAUUUGAAUUUGAAGACCAUCUUUUAAUGUACUGUGUAUGUGAUUUUUGUUUACUUUAUGCUAUGCUUUAUCAUUUUUCCCCAGAUACACUGUUAGAGGUCACGCUAGUGAAUGUAUUCAAUAUUAGGCCAUACUGACCUAAGACACUGAAAUUUGACACAAAUGUUAAAAUCAAAAAUUCAUGGAUAUUUUCUAUAUCGUCUGUAUCUGACAUAUUCUGGAAGUAGGCCUAUAUCAGAUCUAUAAUUCAUCCAGCUCCAGAACAUUCUAUCAACCCACGUUUCAUUAUAAGGGUUUGGAUGACUUUCUCCACCCCCUGAAACCCAUUGGCUUUUCCCAAGCCUUUAGCGAGAACCCUUUAAUUCAUUAUUGCAAAGCACAGCACUGUCUUGAUCGGCAUCAGUGUCAGUUCAGCCCUAGCACAGUGGAAUUUCACAGCAGACAUAAUGGUCAGAACCAGCAAUAUGUUGAGAAUUGUCUCUUUAUGCAUGGUAUUGCUGCUGGGGUCAGAGAUCUGCAUAGCAGGUAUUUCUAAAGUUCAUAAAAUGUAAAAGAUGAAUAUUCUUGUGUUCUGCAGUAACUGUGUUUUUGUCUCAUGGGAAAUUGCUAUGAUGUAAUGGCAUCACGCAGCACAUAAUUUUAUUUCUUAUAUUCCAUCCUAGAAUCAGUUCUGUUUCUGCAAGGAAUACAGUAGAGGCAUUAGUUACUUUUACAGCAUCUCAUGUAAUUUCAUAAACAGCAGCUAUGAUGAAAUCUGUGCCA